AUCGGAAGGAAGCAGCAGCAGAAAUUUCAGGCAUAG
rnacentral:SRP_RNA from 1 species